rnacentral:rRNA from 1 species
GCCUACUGCCACACCACCUUGAAAGCACCCAAUCUUGUUUGAUCUCAGAGGCUAUCCGGGGCUGGACCUGGUUAGUACCUGGAUGGGGGACCACCUUGGAAUACCAGGAGUAGUAGGCU